GGAGAGUUGCCAGAGCGGUCGAAUGGGGCACCCUGCUAAGGUGUUGUACCCUCACGGGUACCGAGGGUUCGAAUCCCUCACUCUCCGCCA
rnacentral:tRNA from 1 species